rnacentral:rRNA from 1 species
CCUACGGGGGGCAGCAGUGGGGAAUAUUGCACAAUGGGGGAAACCCUGAUGCAGCGACGCCGCGUGAGUGAAGAAGUAUUUCGGUAUGUAAAGCUCUAUCAGCAGGGAAGAAAAUGACGGUACCUGAUUAAGAAGCCCCGGCUAACUACGUGCCAGCAGCCGCGGUAAUACGUAGGGGGCAAGCGUUAUCCGGAUUUAAUGGGGGUAAAGGGAGCGUAGACGGCAGCACAAGUCUGGAGUGAAAUGCCGGGGCUUAACCCCGGGACUGCUGUUGAAACUGUGCGGCUAGAGUGCAGGAGAGGUAUGCGGAAUGCGCGGUGUAGCGGUGAAAUGCAUAGAUAUUGCGCAGAACUCCGGUGGCGAAGGCAGCUUGCUGGACUCACACUGACGUUGAGGCACGAAAGCGUGGGUAGCGAACAGGAUUAGAUACCCGAGUAGUC